CAUGCGCACUCUGAUGCAGGGCCGCGUGAGUGAAGAAGGCCUUCGGAUCUGUAAAGCUCUUGUCGUUGGGAAGAACGGCCAUGAGGGUUACCUACCCUUUUGGCGUGGCGGUAACCUACCUGAGAACGCCCGGGCAUAAUACCGUGCCAGCAGCCGCGAUAAUAA
rnacentral:rRNA from 1 species